rnacentral:lncRNA from 1 species
AUAUCUCAAGCCCAUCUGCAGCAAAUGGAUAGUCUUCUAUCAGUAAACGCACGCCGUGCGAGGAGCUUGAAUCUUCAACUGCCAUUCCUCUGAACAAAGCAAAGGGUAGAUACUUAGUUACCUUAAGCGCUAUCAUCUUUGUUUCUAAAUGGCAAUGCACAUAUGAUUAAUAUUACUGUCAUAAGAUUUACCUUUUGAUCAGAUCUACGGGGAGCGCUUGUUCAGGAAAAACCCAAUUCUUAUACAUUGCAGACGACCAUUCCAUUGAAAACUUUGCAGGAAAGAGUGUUGCCUCUAGUAUUCCACCAG